AAUAACCAAAUAUAACACUUGGGCUAAGAGUCAAGUUUGUAAUUUUUCUUACAUCCCCCCCUCCCGGAGCCCAGGUAUCAUAUACGCCCCCAAAAUAGAGAGCCUUGAAUACUAGAAGAAAGGCACCUACACCUAACAAAAUUAAGUGAAUACCCAAAAUGGUGGUCAUUUUAUUUCUAUCUUUCCA
rfam:Arabidopsis lyrata subsp. lyrata unplaced genomic scaffold ARALYscaffold_2, whole genome shotgun sequence.